UCCCCGGUAGCUCAAUGGUAGAGCGGAUCCCUGUUAAGGAUAAGGUUGUAGGUUCGAGUCCUACCCGGGGAG
rfam:Parcubacteria (Wolfebacteria) bacterium GW2011_GWC1_43_10 TV58_C0014, whole genome shotgun sequence.